GAUGAACGCUAGCUACAGGCUUAACACAUGCAAGUCGAGGGGUAACGAGAGGAAAGCUUGCUUUCCUUGUCGACGGCCGGCGCACGGGUGAGUAACGCGUAUCCAACCUGCCCCCAACUAGGGAAUAACCUUGCGAACGUAAGACUAAUACCCUAUAAUUUCCUCAGAUGUCAUCUGACGAGGAAUAAAGAUUUAUCGGUUGUGGAUGGGGAUGCGUCUGAUUAGCUUGUUGGCGGGGUAACGGCCCACCAAGGGAACGAUCAGUAGGGGUUCUGAGAGGAAGGUCCCCCACAUUGGAACUGAGAUACGGUCCAAACUCCUACGGGAGGCAGCAGUGAGGAAUAUUGGUCAAUGGGCGGAAGCCUGAACCAGCCAAGUAGCGUGCAGGAUGACGGCCCUAUGGGUUGUAAACUGCUUUUAUACAGGAAUAAAGUUAGCCACGUGUGGUUAUUUGUAGGUACUGUAUGAAUAAGGACCGGCUAAUUCCGUGCCAGCCGCCGCAGUAA
rnacentral:rRNA from 1 species